rnacentral:rRNA from 1 species
UACGUAGGGCGCAAACGUUGUCCGGAAUUAUUGGGCGUAAAGAGCUCGUAGGUGGUUUGUUACGUCUGCUGUGAAAACCUAGGGCUUAACCCUGGGCCUGCAGUGGAUACGGGCAGACUAGAGGUAGGUAGGGGAGAAUGGAAUUCCCGGUGUAGCGGUGAAAUGCGCAGAUAUCGGGAGGAACACCGGUGGCGAAGGCGGUUCUCUGGGCCUUACCUGACACUGAGGAGCGAAAGCGUGGGGAGCGAACAGG